UACGGAGGGUGCAAACGUUGCUCGGAAUCAUUGGGCGUAAAGCGCACGUAGGCGGCCUGAUAAGUCGGGUGUGAAAGCCCUGGGCUCAACCCAGGAAGUGCACUCGAAACUGUCAGGCUUGAAUAUGGAAGAGGGUCGCGGAAUUCCCGGUGUAGAGGUGAAAUUCGUAGAUAUCGGGAGGAACUCCAGUGGCGAAGGCGGCGACCUGGGCCAAUAUUGACGCUGAGGUGCGAAAGCGUGGGGAGCAAACAGG
rnacentral:rRNA from 1 species